GCAAGUUUCUUUAUCUCCCCUCCGCCCCCGCCGCAGGGCCGCGCCGUCCCCCCCCUCCCACGGCGCCCCCUUCACCUGGGCAGAGCCCCUCGCCGGCUGUCGCAACUUUGCUCUUCUCCACGCUGCCGGGGAAGCGGGCGAAGCGCGAGGAGGAGGGAGGUGGCGGGGGGUGCUGGGAUCAGGCCGCUGGGCUCUGGGAGGACACGUGGGGGAGGAGGGGAAGGAGGAGGAGGAAGGGGGGGCGGGCCUGCAGUUCUCGGGGCUCCCCCUGCCAGCCCCGGGGAAGCCGGAACCUCGCCAGGCAGCCGCAGACCCCGCACUGGCCACGGGGGAAGAACGGAGCCACCUUCCCCGGCCAGCCCUUGGCUCCAGGAAGGAGGGGGGGCGAGCAACGCCGCUCGGGGUCGGAGAGCAAGCGUUUUCGCUCGAGCUUUCUGUGUGACUCUCUCUCUCUCGGUUUAGCCUCUGUGCCCAGAGGUUCCAUCCCUAAGCUAUGGGGUGUCUUCUCUCCUUUGGAAGGACUUUAGAGAUGGCAGUUGUGACUUGCCUGGUGUGUCUGCCUCACCUGGUUUGAAGGAUGCGCUGGCUCAGUGGUAAAGAAUUCGCCUGCCAAUGCCAGUGACAUGGGUUCGAUCCUGGUCUGGGAAGAUCCCACAUGCCAUGGAGUAGCUAAGCCCAUGCACCACAACUACUGAGCCUGUGCUCUAGUAGAGCCUGGGAGCUGCCACUACUGAGCCCACGUGCUGCAACUACUGAAGCCUAGAGCCUGUGCUCCACAACAAGAGAAGCCACUACAACGAGAAGCCCGCACACCACAGGUUGAGAGUGACCCCCGCUUGCUGCAACGAAAGAAACGCCCUUGCAGCAAUGAAGACCCAGCACAGCCAAAAAUAAAUAAAUAAAUAAAAUGUUUAAAUUGGCAAAUUCCAAA
ensembl:lncRNA